UACGAAGGGUGCAAGCGUUACUCGGAAUUACUGGGCGUAAAGCGUGCGUAGGUGGUUUGUUAAGUCUGUUGUGAAAGCCCCGGGCUCAACUCGGGAAGUGCACUCGAUACUGCUUAGCUCGAGUACCGGAGAGGUCGGUGGAAUUCUCGGUGUAGAGGUGAAAUUCGUAGAUAUCGAGAGGAACACCGGUGGCGAAGGCGGCCAACUGGACGAGUACUGACGCUGAGACACGAAAGCGUGGGGAGCAAACAGG
rnacentral:rRNA from 1 species